rnacentral:rRNA from 1 species
CCUACGGGAGGCAGCAGUGGGGAAUAUUGGGCAAUGGAGGAAACUCUGACCCAGCAACGCCGCGUGAAUGAUGAAGGUCUUCGGAUUGUAAAGUUCUUUUCUAAGGGAAGAAGAAAGUGACGGUACCUUAGGAAUAAGCCUCGGCUAACUACGUGCCAGCAGCCGCGGUAAUACGUAGGAGGCAAGCGUUAUCCGGAAUGACUGGGCGUAAAGGGUGCGUAGGUGGUUCAGCAAGUUAGUAGCGUAAUUCCGGAGCUCAACUUCGGCACUACUACUAAAACUGUUGGACUUGAGUGCAGGAGGGGCAACUGGAAUUUCUAGUGUAGCGGGGAAAUGCUUAGAGAUCAUACAGAACACCGAUUGCGAAGGCAGCUUACCAAGCUACUUCUGACGUUGAGGCACGAAAGCGUGGGGAGCAAACAGGAUUAGAUACCCCGUAGUC